rnacentral:rRNA from 1 species
CAGCAGCCGCGGUAAGACAGAGGUCCCGAGCGUUGUUCGGAUUCAUUGGGCGUAAAGGGUGUGUAGGAGGCCAGGUAAGUCAGGUGUGAAAUCUCAGAGCUUAACUCUGAAACUGCGCUUGAUACUGCUUGGCUAGAGGAUCGGAGGGGGUAACGGAAUUUAUGGUGUAGCAGUGAAAUGCGUAGAUAUCAUAAGGAACACCGGUGGCGAAGGCGGUUACCUGGAAGAUUCCUGACUCUGAAACACGAAAGCCAGGGGAGCAAACGGGAUUAGAUACCCCUGUAGUCCCUGUCUCUUAUAC